rnacentral:rRNA from 1 species
UGGGGAAUAUUGCACAAUGGGGGAAACCCUGAUGCAGCGACGCCGCGUGAGCGAAGAAGGUUUUCGAAUCGUAAAGCCCUGUCCUAUGAGAAGAUAAUGACGGUAUCAUAGGAGGAAGCCCCGGCUAAAUACGUGCCAGCAGCCGCGGUAAUACGUAUGGGGCGAGCGUUGUCCGGAAUUAUUGGGCGUAAAGGGUACGUAGGCGGUCUAUUAAGUCAGGUGUGAAAGCGUGAGGCUUAACCUCAUUAAGCACUUGAAACUGAUAGACUUGAGUGAAGGAGAGGAAAGUGGACUUCCUGGUGUAGCGGUGAAAGGCGUAGAUAUUAGGAGGAAUACCGGUGGCGAAGGCGACUUUCUGGACUUUUACUGACACUCAGGUACGAAAGCGUGGGGAGCAAACAGG